GACGAACGCUGGCGGCGUGCUUAACACAUGCAAGUCGAACGGUGAAGCGCCUUCCUUUUUGGUGGGUGUGGAUGAGUGGCGAACGGGUGAGUAACACGUGAGUAACCUGCCCCCUUCUUCUGGAUAACCGCAUGAAAGUGUGGCUAAUACGGGAUAUUCUGGGUCUGUCGCAUGAUGGGUCUGGGAAAGAUAUUGUUUCGGUGGGGGAUGGGCUCGCGGCCUAUCAGCUUGUUGGUGGGGUGAUGGCCUACCAAGGCGGUGACGGGUAGCCGGCCUGAGAGGGUGGACGGUCACACUGGGACUGAGACACGGCCCAGACUCCUACGGGAGGCAGCAGUGGGGAAUAUUGCACAAUGGGCGCAAGCCUGAUGCAGCGACGCCGCGUGAGGGAUGGAGGCCUUCGGGUUGUGAUCCUCUUUCGCCAGUGAAGCAGGCCUGCCUCGUUUGUGGGUGGGUUGACGGUAGCUGGAUAAGAAGCGCCGGCUAACUACGUG
rnacentral:rRNA from 1 species